rnacentral:rRNA from 1 species
CGGCGGACGGGUGAGUAACACGUGGAUAACCUACCUAUAAGACUGGGAUAACUUCGGGAAACCGGAGCUAAUACCGGAUAAUAUAUUGAACCGCAUGGUUCAAUAGUGAAAGACGGUUUUGCUGUCACUUAUAGAUGGAUCCGCGCCGCAUUAGCUAGUUGGUAAGGUAACGGCUUACCAAGGCAACGAUGCGUAGCCACCUGAGAGGGUGAUCGGCCACACUGGAACUGAGACACGGUCCAGACUCCUACGGGAGGCAGCAGUU